CUCUAGAAAUUGUAGUCCAUGAACACGAUUGCCUAAACACUGUCCCAAUCAUUACCGGAUGACAAAAAGUUUGUGUUAGAAUACUUCCCCAAUCAUCCUCCCCACUUUAUGGCAGUUGUUUGGUACCUGCGAAGGAGAAUGAGCAAGUUAUGGACAACUAUUCUUAUAUGAUCCAAAGAAAGCGUUGGAUAUUCACAACUAUUAAUUUCUUUAGGGAGCAAUUUUUUUUUAAAUAACUUUAAGAGACAAUUUUUUACUAUUUCAAGUUCUUAGUAUAUUCAGUUAAUGCUCAAUUCUAUUAUUUUUUAGGUAUUAAAUCUUUAAUUAGUAUAAACAUUAGAUAUUGAUUCUGUAAGUAAAUCUCCAUAUUCACUUUUUUCAAAAAUCGACAAAAGGUUGAAAAUGUUUUGUAAGCCAAUAACAGAUCUUAUUAUUUUUAAGUGAACGAUUUCCUGAAAGAUGAAAGGGUAACAAACUAACACAUUGUUGGCCUAAUUUCAGUCUAUAUUCAUCACAUAGUAUUGGUCUUAGUGAUUUUAUCCAUUAAUAUUUUUUUAUUCAAUAUACAGGUUGAUGGAGAUGAAAGAAAAUAUUCUCAACAGCCGUUCAUCUGAUAUCAAGUUGAGCGUAUUUUCUAGGACAAUUUGUAGAGAAAGGAAUGACGGUUAACCGAAUUGUGGUAAAUUUUAAUUUUCUGUCUCCUAAUUAUACAUUUUAUUGCUAUUUUAUUUCAGGGUUAUCCUUAAUCAUGGUUUUAAAGACUUCUAUGACCUAGAAAAAGUUCAUGGAGAUGAACUGCCUUUUUACUUAUUUAGAUAUGAAGGUGCACCGCUUAACAUUCAACGCCAAAAGAAUACGGAAGAGAUUCAUCUAGCAUACACACACCCCCUUUAUCUUCGAUAAAAUAAUUAAGGUGCAAAUUCUUUCAAGUUAGCAUUCCAGUUAUUUAGAGUUUCUACAGACUUUCUUAUGCUAUUUAAGGUUGUUAUCAACGAAGGAAGGGGGCUUAGCUGAAUAGUUUGCAACUCUUUGAGUAUGAUCCUAAGUAGAAGGAAGUUAUCCUCAAAUCCAACCGUGGAACUAAUAAAUUAUGGGUGCAGUGGUUCAAAAAACCAGUGGACUUGGAGUUUUAUUUGAUGGCAGUGGGAUUCUUUCGUUGGUUUUUCUAUAGCCCUUGCUUAUCAAUCUGCUGGUGAUGCAUAUCCAGGUUGACGGGUGUGUUAAUCCUUCUCUGUGUGUGUUUGAGAUGCAAAAUGCUGGUGACUUGGAUUUGCAUUAUUGUUGAUGUGGUAAUGGUAAUGGUAUUCCUAUUCGACUGCAUCAGUUGAGAUGCUCAGAAACUUAUUUUCGAAAACAUUUGGAAGAUCUCACGAAAUGUGGUGAUCGCAGUACCAUUCAACUUGGCAAUGGGGGUUCAGAUGAGUUCUGGAUACUUUAACACUACCACUUUGACUAUUUUAGAAAGUGGACUAAUUCUCCAUCGAUGAAAACACCGCCAUUACACAUUGCAAGACACUCCACGAACGUUGUUCCUGUUUUGGGGAUACUUUACAGGUUAAUUUCUCUUACUCUCUCCCGCUGUGUUUGCGUAGUAUCCUUUAUGGACAGGCUAUCAAUAUUAGCUGCAUAAAGGUACCGAGUUUGAUAAGAUGACUCUACUAUUUAAAUUUUUAUUAGAAGAUCAAUUAAAACGAAUACUAUAUUUUUGAAUAUAAUGCUUUCCUUAAUUGGAUGUAUUAAUCAGGGGGAAGUGACGACAUCCUUAGCUUAGCUCUACUUUUUAGAUGCAAGGUUGUUGAAGUUUUUUUUUUUAUCAAUUCUGGGCAUGUAUCAUCAAUGUUAUAUAUUGAUGCUCCAAGUAUCCAUAUAGCAUGUAGAAGUGGCCAGUGUCAUCAAUUACCUACCACUUGAGAGUAACUCACUGUGGCAUUGCUUAUGUUUCCAAUGUCUAAGUAUGUUUCUAUGAAAGACUCUUCUUUGGUAUUUUGUUAAUUUAAUUUGUAUAAAUAUCCGAGUAUUUAUCUUGCGGACAAGUUAAAGUUCACAGUAGGAGUAUCGCUUGGCGAGUUUCAAAGUACCGUGACUUCGUUUGCAACACUGAAUCUUUAAUUGCAAAUUUUGGUGAAACUGCAAUAGGAUGACUUGCUCCUGUUGAUUCUGACAACCCUAAUCCAAAGGUAUGAGCUUAAUCUUUCAUAUUUUACCGUCGAUGUUGAGAAGUCAUGCAUAAUGGUUAGAUAUGUUGACUUUAGACUAUUAGGAUGUAACAAAUAUUGGUAUCAACGCAAAGUUCUCCCCUAAGUGAUAUUCUUUAAGCUCACAAUAAAACUCAGAUAGGAAAUUAGGCUGUAGUUUCUUUAAAUGUUCAUACUAUAUUUUUUGUAGUUUAAUUGUGGAUGUGUUUGGUGGUUGUUUCUUCACUGGAUCAGAAGAAGGGUAAAGUAAUAGUAUUGGCAAGAAAAAAUAUCCUAAUCUUAAACGACAAAUCAUUACGUGUAUAUAUUUUUUUCGUGUUCAGAAUAAAUGGGUUCCGUAUGACAAGCUUCGAUUUUGGAGUGAAGGAGAAGCAGCCAAAGAACAUGGUUGAAUAAUGUCAUCACGACAUGUUCCCUGUUAAAAAGCUUGAGGUUACUUUCCUUGAUGUUAAUCUCAAUGUCCAUACUAUGUUUGACAAAAGGUUCGAUGUUAACAUUGGAGAUGGAUUUUGGAAAGGUUUGAUGUAUAGAGUCAUGUAGUAUAUGGAAGUCUUGAUGUUGUGCAUGAGACAGUUCACCUGGAUUUAUGAGGUAAGGUUUCAAGUCAAAAUGAUCAAUAUAUGAAGACAAUUAGAGUAAGCAUCUCUGUACAUAGUUGCCUACUUCUGUUAAUUUCUACGUGCGGUCAUUGCUUUCUCGAAAUUUUUGGGGAAUAAUUAACAUAUUUGUGGAUAUGAAAUGCAUGGUGAGGCAUGUUCUACAUAACUUGCAUUGUUAGCAGGUAUACAACAUUCAAUCCUUUUUUUUAAUCCUAUUAUUGACAAUAUAAAGAUUUCAUGUGCAUUUAUAAUCUCCUGGAAUGAGGAUUUUAUCAUGGUUUCUUAAUCAGGGAUGUUGCUUCCAUCUUGGUCAAAUGCUUUUGUCUGGAUAUCUCUUUGAAAAAACUAUUAAGUAUUAGGAAUUCAUGAUGCAAAGGAAGCGUCAAACGUGGGUGUCCAAUGAUAUAUUUUCUUGCCUUUGGAGCAUCGUACAUUUAUGUUAGAGUGCGUUUAGAGUAGAAUGUCCAUGAACAAUGGGAUCAAAAUAUGUUGGCCCCAACUAUUUAGUGUUUUAGAUCAAUAAAUGACUUGGUUAGCUAUUUUAAACUACCAGCUCAGAAUAGUAGGCAUUAGUUCUAAAUUAUGACCAGCGAGCAAUUUAUUUUUCAUAUGUUGAUACAGUUUUCUAGGGCACUAGGGUUUCAUUUUUCUGUAUUUCUUAAGGAUGUCUUUUUCCUAUCUAAAAAUCUCCUUAUUGUAUAAUGCAUGCUUCUGUUAAGGCACUCAAUGGUGACAUCAGAUGUUUUGAUUCUUCAGGCCAAGUCUGAAAAGCUGGCAAGAUAAGGGUUUUUUAAUAAAUAUUUGGUGAAGUGGACUGAUGACUUUAACUCUACAGUAUAGAACUCAGAUCUUCUAUUAGCGUACAUGAAGCAUGGUGUGAGGUAUAAUCUCUUCUUUAUAUUACCUCAUACUAUUAAAUCUUUUACACAAACAGAUACGUGGUUGCUACCUUAGCUCAAAUGGUAGAGCACAUGGUUUUUAUCAUGAAGUUGCGGGUUCGACUCCCACAGAUGGCAUAGUUAUUUGAAUAAGACAAAAUAAAAAACUUUAUAUGCUUCCGGUACCAGUGUGUAGGAGAUAUUAGAGACAGAAAAUGUAUCAGAUUAUAAGGCUCUUUGGAGGCUUCUUUUUGUCAAAUUCCAUGACCUAAUAUUAGUGUUCACAUUUAGGAUCUUUUGCGAUCUCUGCGCAAGGAAAAGGGUAAAAUUUUGCUAUGUA